AAAAAAAAGAUAAAAAAGAUAAAAAAUAAGUGAAACAAAAGGAGAAAAUUAAUAAUAAUGGAUGAAGAGAGAAACCCCCCGUUUUUCCCCCUCCGCACUCAAACUCGCUCUGCCUGCCAACCUCCGGCUCUGCUUUCCGGACUGCCGCCCCCCCCGCCCCGCAGCAGGACAAUCGGACGGACGGACGGACGGACGGACAGAGCGCAGGGGUGCGGGCAGGAGGGGACCUGGGGGUCAGCGCCGGGUGCCCCCUGCCCACAGCCCGGCCGGGGACCCCUGGGCCGCCCGGGGAGGCAGUCUGGGGAUUCUUUGCUUUUCUCGUCCCUCCCCGUCCGCUCGCUCGCCGCGGGGGCUGCUCUCGCCGGACGGACAGCGCUGACCCCCAGCAGGCUCCGGCGGCGUCGCCAGCGGGGCUCGGAGACGCCACCGCCACCAGCCACAGCACCCCCAGCCCUGCGCCCCCCGCCCGUCCCGGCUGCCGGAGCGGAGAGGAGAGGAGAGGAGAGGAGAGGAGAGGAGAGGAGAGGAGAUGAGAGGAGAGGAGAGGAGAGGAGAAGAGAAGAACAGAGGAGAGGAGGGGGCUGCCUCCGGAGGGGACCCCGCUCCGCCGCCCCCGCUUCGCCCCCGGCCCCCGCCUCGGCCGUGGCGCCGGCGCCGCGAUCUGUCUCUCCUCCCAGCCAGAAGCAGAGGGACUCUUUAAGUUUUAUUUUUUAUUUGAUUAAUUUUCAUUUUCUGCACAAAACCAGCAAUUGUAAAUACUUUUGAAGAAAAGAAGUUAAAAAAAAAAAAUGUUUAAGGAUAAAAAAAAAAAUUUAAAAAGCUGAAAAAUCACAAAAAAAAAAAAUAGAGAAUCAUGCACCGGAGGGAGAAUCCAAAAAUGACGGAGAACAGGCCUAAAGCAUCCAAGAGGUGAAUAUGCAGCAGAAAAGAGCAAAACCCCCCCCAGUAUGCACUGAGAAAAAAAUUUAUUUACAGAUCGAGCAACAAAAAAAAAAAAAGAAAAAAAAAGAAAAAAGUAACAAUAACCUAUUUAUUGUAUAUAAUGUUUUAUUAUAAAUCGUGUCUUGUAUAUUGCAUUCUGUACAUCUGCUGUGGUUUUGUGGUGUGCAACUUCCGCAUGGGUUCCUUGGGUUUCCGUUGCCUUUUUUUUAAUGAUUCAAUGAUGAUUUGAGUUUUAUUUUUAUUAUUAUUCUGAAGAACGAAGGCGGGUUUUUGAUUUUUUGUUGGGUUUUUUGGUUGGUUUUUUUGGCAGUACACACCCAAAGAUCCAAAUUUGUAUAAAAAAAAAAGAGUUUAAAAAAAAAAAAAAAAGAAGAAGACAAAAACUUAAAAAAAAAGUUUAAAAAAAGAAGAAAUCAAUCGAUCACAGACCCUCUUGGUGGGGAGGGAGUGGGGGGCUGGGGAAAAGGGGGGUCCCUUUCCCAGGGUCCCCGAGGCGGUGGCGGUGACGAGCUCAGGGUGUGGGUGCGUGUGUGGGUGCCAGGUGGGCUUUGGGGUCCUCUCCUCCCACGAAUUCCCUGUGUGUCCCCCCCCCUCCUCAAGUUUGGCAAUCUCUGUACAGCUUUGUGGGUUGUGCAAAAAAAGAGAAAACACACACACACACACACACAAAGAGAUGAAAACCACCCUGAAAUGGAUAAAAAAAGCAAAAUUCACAAAAAAUAAAAAAAAAAAGGAGAAAACUACCCAAAUUUGGUCAAAAUACGCCCUCCUUCCCCCGCCCCCCCGCUGCCCUGUGCAGUGCUUGUGCUGCCCUGGCCAGAGGGGCCCCCGUGAGCCCCCCGGCCCCCGCUUUGCCCCUCAAACGGUCUUUUUGUGUUACUUAGGAAGGAAUUUUUAAUAGGCACUUUUUUUAUAUUAAAAAGAAACCUAUAUAUUGAGCGA